rnacentral:rRNA from 1 species
CCUACGGGUGGCAGCAGUGGGGAAUAUUGGACAAUGGGGGGAACCCUGAUCCAGCCAUGCCGCGUGUGUGAAGAAGGCCCUCGGGUUGUAAAGCACUUUCAGUGAGGAAGAACGCCUGGUGGUUAAUACCCAUCAGGAAAGACAUCACUCACAGAAGAAGCAUCGGCUAACUCCGUGCCAGCAGCCGCGGUAAUACGGAGGGUGCGAGCGUUAAUCGGAAUUACUGGGCGUAAAGCGCGCGUAGGUGGCUUGAUAAGCCGGUUGUGAAAGCCCCGGGCUCAACCUGGGAACGGCAUCCGGAACUGUCAAGCUAGAGUGCAGGAGAGGAAGGUAGAAUUCCCGGUGUAGCGGUGAAAUGCGUAGAGAUCGGGAGGAAUACCAGUGGCGAAGGCGGCCUUCUGGACUGACACUGACACUGAGGUGCGAAAGCGUGGGUAGCAAACAGGAUUAGAUACCCGAGUAGUC